rnacentral:lncRNA from 1 species
GGCGGUCGGUCGACUUCCGACUCAACGAACGCGCCCGACUCACGGUCGGGAAAAGGAAGCCCGACUGACGACCUUGACUAUCUAAGGCCGAUCCAAAGUCGGGACUUACUCUACGUUCGUGACGGCAUGAGUUGCCGAACGUCCUAACCGACCUAUAUGAGUUAGCGACUUACGAAGACAUUCUACAACGCACGAAGGA